rnacentral:rRNA from 1 species
UACGGGAGGCAGCAGUGGGGAAUAUUGCACAAUGGGCGCAAGCCUGAUGCAGCCAUGCCGCGUGUAUGAAGAAGGCCUUCGGGUUGUAAAGUACUUUCAGCGAGGAGGAAGGUGUUGAGGUUAAUAACCUCAGCAAUUGACGUUACUCGCAGAAGAAGCACCGGCUAACUCCGUGCCAGCAGCCGCGGUAAUACGGAGGGUGCAAGCGUUAAUCGGAAUUACUGGGCGUAAAGCGCACGCAGGCGGUCUGUCAAGUCGGAUGUGAAAUCCCCGGGCUCAACCUGGGAACUGCAUUCGAACUGGCAGGCUAGAGUCUUGUAGAGGGGGUAGAAUUCCAGGUGUAGCGGUGAAAUGCGUAGAGAUCUGGAGGAAUACCGGUGGCGAAGGGCGGGCCCCUGGGACAAGACUGACGCUCAGGUGCGAAAGCGUGGGGAGCGAAACAGGGAUUAGGAAUAACC